rnacentral:rRNA from 1 species
UACGUAGGUGGCAAGCGUUGUCCGGAUUUAUUGGGUUUAAAGGGUGCGUAGGCGGUCUAUUAAGUCAGUGGUGAAAUAUGGCAGCUCAACUGUCAAGGUGCCAUUGAUACUGAUGGACUUGAGUGCAGUCGAAGUAGGCGGAAUUGACGGUGUAGCGGUGAAAUGCUUAGAUAUCGGCAAGAACACCGAUAGUGAAGACAGCUUACUAGGCUUAUACUGACGCUGAGGCACGAAAGUGUGGGGAGCAAACAGG